GGCUUAACCUUGGAACUGCCAUCAAAACUUUUUGACUAGAGUAUGAUAGAGGAAAGUGGAAUUUCUAGUGUAGAGGUGAAAUUCGUAGAUAUUAGAAAGAACACCAAUUGCGAAGGCAACUUUCUGGAUCAUUACUGACACUGAGGAGCGAAAGCAUGGGUAGCGAAGAGGAUUAGAUACCCUCGUAGUCCAUGCCGUAAACGAUGUGUGCUAGACGUUGGAAAUUUAGUUUUCAGUGUCGCAGCGAAAGCGUUAAGCACACCGCCUGGGGAGUACGACCGCAAGGUUAAAACUCAAAUGAAUUGACGGGGACCCGCACAAGUAGUGGAGCAUGUGGUUUAAUUCGAAGAUACGCGCAGAACCUUACCAACACUUGACAUGUUCGUCGCGACUCUAAGAGAUUAGAGUCUUCGGUUCGGCCGGACGAAACACAGGUGCUGCAUGGCUGUCGUCAGCUCGUGUCGUGAGAUGUUGGGUUAAGUCCCGCAACGAGCGCAACCCUUACUUUUAGUUGCUACCAUUUAGUUGGGCACUCUAAAAGAACUGCCGGUGAUAAGCUGGAGGAGGGUGGGGAUGACGUCAAGUCCUCAUGGCCCUUAUGUGUUGGGCUACACACGUGCUACAAUGGUACUCACAGUGAGAAGCGAAGAGGCGACUCUAAGCUAAUCCCUAAAAAGUACCUCAGUUCGGAUUGUACUCUGCAACUCGAGUACAUGAAGCUGGAAUUACUAGUAAUCGCGGAUCAGCGCGCCGCGGUGAAUACGUUCCCGGGUCUUGUACACACCGCCCGUCACACCAUGGAAGUUGGUUACACCUGAAGGCAAAGAAUAAA
rnacentral:rRNA from 1 species